rnacentral:rRNA from 1 species
UGGGGAAUAUUGGACAAUGGGCGCAAGCCUGAUCCAGCCAUGCCGCGUGAGUGAUGAAGGCCUUAGGGUUGUAAAGCUCUUUCGCGCGCGACGAUAAUGACGGUAGCGCGAGAAGAAGCCCCGGCUAACUUCGUGCCAGCAGCCGCGGUAAUACGAAGGGGGCUAGCGUUGUUCGGAAUCACUGGGCGUAAAGCGCAUGCAGGCGGAUUGUUAAGUCGGGGGUGAAAUCCCGAGGCUCAACCUCGGAACUGCCUUCGAUACUGGCAAUCUUGAGUCCGGGAGAGGUGAGUGGAACUGCGAGUGUAGAGGUGAAAUUCGUAGAUAUUCGCAAGAACACCAGUGGCGAAGGCGGCUCACUGGCCCGGUACUGACGCUGAGGUGCGAAAGCGUGGGGAGCAAACAGGAUUAGAUACCCCGGUAGUCC